CCUACGGGUGGCAGCAGUGAGGAAUAUUGGUCAAUGGGCGUAAGCCUGAACCAGCCAAGUCGCGUGAGGGAUGAAGGUUCUAUGGAUCGUAAACCUCUUUUAUAAGGGAAUAAAGUGCGGGACGUGUCCCGUUUUGUAUGUACCUUAUGAAUAAGGAUCGGCUAACGCCGUGCCAGCAGCCGCGGUAAUACGGAGGAUCCGUGCGUUAUCCGGAUUUAUUGGUUUUAAAGGGUGCGUAGGCGGCCUUUUAAGUCAGCGGGGAAAGUCUGUGGCUCAACCAUAGAAUUGCCGUUGAAACUGGGAGGCUUGAGUAUGUUUGAGGCAGGCGGAAGGCGUGGUGUAGCGGUGAAAUGCUUAGAUAUCACGCAGAACCCCGAUUGCGAAGGCAGCCUGCCAAGCCAUGACUGACGCUGAUGCACGAAAGCGUGGGGAUCAAACAGGAUUAGAUACCCUUGUAGUC
rnacentral:rRNA from 1 species